GGAUCACUUGAGUCCAGGAGUUUGAGACCAGUCUGGGCAACAUAGCAAGACUCCAUCUCUACAAAAAAUACAAAAAUUAGCCAGGAAGAAGAAAAUGACAGGUGCUAAGAGAGAGAGGAAAGGGACAUGCCAUAGAUGAUAAAGUACCUCAGUCUGCCACAAACACUUUGAACAUUAUAAGGAUCGCAAGGACUAAGUUGCACCGCAGACUGGACCAGCUGGAGAACCUUUUCUUCCUCUGAAUCUCACUCAAGUAUGGCUUCAUUUCAAGUGACCAGGUCACCACUUCCAGCCUGGCAACUUGGUGCUAAUUAAGACUUGGAAAGAAGACAAUCUCCACCCAAGCUGGGAAGGUUCCUAUCAAGUUCUCGUGAUCACUGAGACAGCCGUAGGAACAGCUGAACAGGGGUGGACACUCACACUCGGGUCAAGAGACUGGUAAAAGAAACCCCAGAAGGAAGGGAAAAAGAAACUUUGCUCUGGUGGAGGAGACAAACAUGGACACAUUGUGAGAGUUCCAGGAAGUGGCCACUUGGAGGUGGUAUCAAAGUGCUGUGGGAAUCCACUUGGGAUUGCUGGAGGAGAAGCCAGUUGCCAUAUUGUGAGGAUGCUCAAGCAACCUUAUGAAGAGGUCUACAUGGUGAAGAACUAAGGCCUACUACCAAAAACAAACACUAAUUUGCCAGACAUAUAAUCAGCUUCUGAUAACUAUAGAGAAAAGUACGGGCAGAAAGGAGAAAGUAAGCCAAGAGGGGAGCUGGAAGACAGGACCUACUGCCUUGGAAAGCCAUCGUGCUGUGAGGACUCUUCAUCAUUCCUCAAGGUACCUCUGCUUCCUUCCCUUAUUUCCCACUCCCUCCUAGGCACUCCACUGAACCUGCCCACCUCCACUUCUGCCAUCUCUGCCCACCUCUACUCCAAGCAUCUGGGCAUCCACACUCAGUUCACGUCAAAUCUGGGCAUAAUGAGUUUGAAGUCAGUUUUCAAAGUUGUAUUAAUAGAAUCUUUCUUUGGCCACCCAGGUUUUGGAGAAUUUGGUCAUCCUUCCACUUUAUGGACUGUGAAUUAUCUUGUGACCAAUGAUUUCUUCUUCCCACCUAGGUGUUACUUCACUUACCAACAAUUCCCCAAUUCCCCAAAGUGGAAGGAAAGAGACAAACUUGCACCUUUGACUCAUUUUUCAGAAACUAUGGUGUAAAGGUCUCUGGGAAACUGGAUGAAACUAAAGGGCCAUAUGAUAUUGUUUUCAUUUAUUUUUAUUUUUUAACCUGGAAAAUGUGAAAUGUGUAGAUGCAAUGCCAUACGAUGUUGAGGAAUUAUUUGUUUUAAAUUAUCUUUCCUCCUUUAUGUCCUGGGCAAAUAUUAAUUAGUUGGUUAUUUGUAACCAUCAGAAAGGAUCCUACUGAUGGCAUGACUCCUUUGCCAAACUUCUUAUCAAAAAUAAGGACUCUGGAACGUUAUGAAAAUAAGAGGUCUAUGGCCAUACCACCCUGAAAACACGCAAUCUUGUCUGAUCUUGGAAGCUAAGCAGGGUUGUGCCUGGUUAGUAUUUGGGUGGUCUAUAGGCUUCUGGCAUCCCACUCCCUCUUUCCCUUU